rnacentral:rRNA from 1 species
GACGAACGCUGGCGGCGCGCCUAACACGUGCAAGUCGAACGAGCGAGACAGAGCUUGCUUUCUCGAGCGAGUGGCGACCGGGUGAGUAACGCGUGAGGAACCUGCCUCACAGAGGGGGACAACAGUUGGAAACGACUGCUAAUCCCGCAUAAGCCCACGGCCCGGCAUCUAGCAGGGGGAAAAGGGGCAAUCCGCUUUGAGAUGGCCUCGCGUCCGAUUAGCUAGUUGGUGAGGUAACGGCCCACCAAGGCGACGAUCGGUAGCCGGACUGAGAGGUUGAACGGCCACACUGGGACUGAGACACGGCCCAGACUCCUACGGGAGGCAGCAGUGGGGAAUAUUGGACAAUGGGGGAAACCCUGAUGCAGCGACGCCGCGUGGAGGAAGAAGGUCUUCGGAUUGUAAACUCCUGUUGUUGGGGAAGAUAAUGACGGUACCCAACAAGGAAGUGACGGCUAACUACGUG